CAGCACUCGAGUUAUCACGACACUACACACUCUCGCUAAUGUGAAGCUGAACAGAGGACACAUAAAUACCAGUAUAGCAGUCUCUAUACAACCAAGCUUUCAGCUCAAGCACACAUAUGGCUUUGGAAGAACCACACAGGACCUUGGGAAAGGUCACCACUGUAUUUGCAACCAAGCUGAAGUCUUUCACCUUUGUGCCGUUUCUAAAAAGACUACCUGUUGAGAACAGGGUCUGGAAAAAGGUACUUCAGACAAGCAGACCAAGCAAGACUUCACAAGAGCCAGGGGACAUUAAAAAGAGCAUGGCGGAAGAGGGAGUCUACAAAGCAGAGGUUGUUUACGUCCAAGACCCUGAAGAGCACCAGCUUGGAAGAAACGCUCAAGAACACCACUCAAAGUGA
rnacentral:lncRNA from 12 species